UUGGCGAACGGGUGAGUAACGCGUGAGUAACCUGCCCUGGAGUGGGGGACAACAGUUGGAAACGACUGCUAAUACCGCAUAAGCCCACGAUCCGGCAUCGGAUUGAGGGAAAAGGAUUUAUUCGCUUCAGGAUGGACUCGCGUCCAAUUAGCUAGUUGGUGAGGUAACGGCCCACCAAGGCGACGAUUGGUAGCCGGACUGAGAGGUUGAACGGCCACAUUGGGACUGAGACACGGCCCAA
rnacentral:rRNA from 1 species